CCCCCUUCCUAAUAGGCAUUCGUCCUCGAAUGGGAACUAUGUCAAACCAUUGAAAGGAAGAGAAAUCACUGAUGUCAAAGAUUAGGAACUAGAGUCUGCAUUUGAGGUUGAAGAUGAUGAUGAUGAUGAUACCGAAGAUACGACUGACUUGGAUUUGGUCAGGUCUCCAAAGUACCAAGUCAAUAGGGAGUGCAACUUGUCGACCAAAGA